GGGAUAAUUAAAAAAUAUAUAAGGAAAUAUGACACAAGUAAGGAAUAAGGUGAGAAAUAAAGUUAGUCAAGAACAGAUAUAGCUAAACUUAAGAAGAGCGUCGUUAAUUUAUACCAUAUGCCUGUACAUGUUGGAUCUGAAUACCAAAGAUUACAUAUAAUAUUAUUUCAUGAUAAUAUAUAACAUACACACACAUUAGGAUAAGGAAGAAAAAUUAGCAUUAAAAGAGAUUUAUUAUUUCUUCUUUCCUUUUUUUCCUUUUCCUCCUUUUUUCCCUUUCUUAUCUUUCUUCUUCAUCUGUUUCCGUACAAGAUAUCCACGCCAACACGAUUGUAGCUUUAUGGAAGCAGUAGUUUGCCUCUCGAAUUCCAUUUUUCGUUGUUCUUCAGCUUCCGCGGCCAACCUCCGCUCUUCUAGAAUUUCCAGAUAUUCCUUUUCCAAAACACUAAAAUGGCGCCCUAAGUCAUCCAGAUCUUUUCUCAAAUGGUCUCUUUCAAUCAAAAUUUCAUCGUACUCAUCCUUAAUUUCAAAAAAAUACACUAUCAAUGAAGAAAUGAAAUGCUAGGGGUUUGUGUUACCAUAGUGUUACCAGUGUUGCUAGACAGGGCUGUGAGUACUCGUUACAAUUGUAACACGUGACAGGCUACUUAAUGUUACAUUUGUUGUAUUUUUGGCCUGUAAUCGAGAAUUCCAGCUAUAGAAGAAAUUUCGAUCUAGACAAGAAACGAAAUCC